CGCGUAGGCGGUCUUGUAAGUCCCGUGUGAAAUCCCUCGGCUCAACUGAGGAACUGCACGGGAAACUGCUUGGCUUGAGUUCGGGAGAGGGACGUGGAAUUCCGGGUGUAGCGGUGAAAUGCGUAGAUAUCCGGAGGAACACCGGUGGCGAAGGCGGCGUCCUGGACCGACACUGACGCUGAGGCGCGAAAGCUAGGGGAGCAAACGGGAUUAGAUACCCCGGUAGUCCUAGCUGUAAACGAUGAGUGCUGGGUGUAGGGGGUCUUAACCCCCCCUGUGCCGAAGCUAACGCAUUAAGCACUCCGCCUGGGGAGUACGGUCGCAAGGCUGAA
rnacentral:rRNA from 1 species